rnacentral:lncRNA from 1 species
GCCUUUUCUAGGGCCGCUCCCAUGGCAUAUGGAGGUUCCCCGGCUAGUGGUUGAAUUGGAGCUAUUGCCGCCGGCCUACGUCAGAGCCACAGCAAUGCGGGAUCCAAGCCACGUCUGCAGUCUAGGAGCAAGGCCCGGGAUCGAACCCGAAACCUCAUGGUUCCUAAUCGGAUUCAUUAGCCACUGCGCCACAACAGGAACUCCAAGAUUCUUGAAAAAAAUAUUUGAGUCAAUUGGGAGAAUAUGUAAGAAACUGCAAAUUAUAGGCAGAUAAAACAAGUUACUUAUGCACAGAAAGACUGAGAAGUACUAAUUGCUCAGAGAAUCAACAGUAUGGUUACAGUAUGUAAAGGGAAAAACCUGGUCUCAUUUCUGUUUCUCCUUUAUUUUCACACUACUGCCACACUCACAACGCUUCUAAAACCAGAUGUGGGUUUUUCCCUCACCAAGCAAUUCUGUGACACUAGCUGGGUCUCCUACGAUUUAGCUCAAUUCUGACUCUGUCAAACUGGAGACAACACCUGGAGACAGCAUCUGAUCCCACAGGUUAAGGGCUCAGUCCCACAAGACUGCCCCCGUUCAGAUGCCAAUUGCAAGUAAUUAAGUGCCUGGGUUACCCACAACUUUUGUCCAACAUGGCUAUAAACUGGAGGUUUCCAUAACCUCCUCCCCUUCAAUUUGAUUAUUGGAUAGAACAACUCACAGAACUCCGUUUAUUAAAGGAUAUGGUAAAGGAUAAAGAUGAAGAACCUGAACAACCAGAUGAACAGAUACACAGGGAAAGUCUGGGAGUGUAGGAGCAUCUGCCUAGUGGAGUUGGGGUGUGUAAUCUUCCUGGUAUGUGGAUGGGUUCACCAGCCUGGAAGCUCUCCAAACUCCAUACUACUGGGAUUUUAUUAAGUCUUCCUCAUGUAGGUGUGAUCAAUUGACCCCAUUUCCGGCCUUUCUCCCCUCUCUAUAGAAUGGGAGGAGGGGCUGAAAAUUCCAAGCUUCUAAUCAGGCUUUAUCUACCUGGAGACCAGACCACAUCUAAGAACCCAUCCAGAGUCCCCUCACAAAACAAAAGAUGCUUCCAAUGCACCUAUCACUUGGGAAUUGACAAGAUUUUCAGGAGCCCAGUGUCAGAAACAGGAGGCAGAGACCAACAUAUUUAUUUAUUGUUUUCCAUGGUACAAGGUGAGCGUGAAGACAUGAAAAGUUGGGAAAAGUAGUAAUGCCAAUACUAACAUUUUAUUAAGCAACAUUCUGGUUACUAUUUAGUAGUUUACAUGUUACCUUCAUAACAACCCCAUUUUACAGAUGCCAAAAAAGAAGGCAUGGUAGUGUUAGGUUAACUGGCCUAAAAGAUUAUACAGCUAAUAAAUGAUAGAGACAGGCUCUGAAUCCAGGGAGUUUGUCUGCCCUUCUGAAAAUGGUGUCAUAACGAAUGGCCUUUUUAUUCUGAAGAUUCCGGGAAUUCUUAGGUAGAAAGUUGGAGACAGUGACAGAAAGAUCCUUUUCUAUCUAUUUGCCGUUGGCUUGGCUACCUCAAAGGAAAAUCUAAGUUUAUGGAGCUAAAAUGGAAACCAGAGGACUGUUUCAAAUACUCUGAUCCUCCACAUUACCUGAGCAAGUGGACUAAGUUCAGAUAUUUCAAGUUGGGCAGACCUUCACCGAGGGGGUAUCUUACCUUCCUAUCCAGAGGAAAGGGAACUGGAGCUGUGAAAUGGAGAACGAGUGUUGUUGCAACCGUAGGAGACAAGCAAAAUUAUUAUUCUUAUUUAACAAAUGGCAUCAUUAAAGCACAAUUAUUAUAGAACUUGCUUACAGCCCCCCCCCCCCCCCCCAAACAAGUAUAUGGAGGAGGUAAGUCGGGCUGGAAAAAAGUACAAUGAAAUUGUAAAUAAGUACACAACAUAUGAUUAAGAAUUAGUACUUUUCAGCUACCGUGUAGCAGAAGAAACUCGGACUUGAACCAGGACUUGGAUUCAAGCUCCAUCCCUGAGUCUAAGUGUAAAAAUUUGGGGCUGGUCACUGCGGGCAAUUUUCUCACCUACAAAACGCAAGACAAUAAUUCCUACCUCAUAGGGUUUUUGUAAGGAUCUAGCGUUUGUAAAAGCGCACUGUAAUCUCUAAAAUGUUAAACAAACGUGAAAAACAACUCCACUCUGCUUCGGACUCGUAAAUUUGGGACGCGGUCAAUCAACCCUAACAGGCAAAUGCUCCGCUCUCCUUCCCGGAA